AUAACAUUUGGAAACAGAUGCUAAUACCGCAUAACAAUUUGAAUCGCAUGAUUCAAAUUUAAAAGAUGGCUUCGGCUAUCACUUUGGGAUGGACCUGCGGCGCAUUAGCUUGUUGGUAGGGUAACGGCCUACCAAGGCAGUGAUGCGUAGCCGAGUUGAGAGACUGAUCGGCCACAAUGGAACUGAGACACGGUCCAUACUCCUACGGGAGGCAGCAGUAGGGAAUCUUCCACAAUGGGCGCAAGCCUGAUGGAGCAACACCGCGUGAGUGAAGAAGGGUUUCGGCUCGUAAAGCUCUGUUGUUAGAGAAGAACGUGCGUGAGAGCAACUGUUCACGCAGUGACGGUAUCUAACCAGAAAGUCACGGCUAACUACGUGCCAGCAGCCGCGGUAAUACGUAGGUGGCAAGCGUUAUCCGGAUUUAUUGGGCGUAAAGCGAGCGCAGGCGGUUUGAUAAGUCUGAUGUGAAAGCCUUUGGCUUAACCAAAGAAGUGCAUCGGAAACUGUCAGACUUGAGUGCAGAAGAGGACAGUGGAACUCCAUGUGUAGCGGUGGAAUGCGUAGAUAUAUGGAAGAACACCAGUGGCGAAGGCGGCUGUCUGGUCUGCAACUGACGCUGAGGCUCGAAAGCAUGGGUAGCGAACAGGAUUAGAUACCCUGGUAGUCCAUGCCGU
rnacentral:rRNA from 1 species